rnacentral:rRNA from 1 species
UACGAAGGGGGCUAGCGUUGCUCGGAAUCACUGGGCGUAAAGGGUGCGUAGGCGGGUUUUUAAGUCAGGGGUGAGAUCCUGGAGCUCAACUCCAGAACUGCCUUUGAUACUGAGGAUCUUGAGUUCGGGAGAGGUGAGUGGAACUGCGAGUGUAGAGGUGAAAUUCGUAGAUAUUCGCAAGAACACCAGUGGCGAAGGCGGCUCACUGGCCCGAUACUGACGCUGAGGCACGAAAGCGUGGGGAGCAAACAGG